rnacentral:lncRNA from 1 species
GGAGGGUUUUUGGGAGGUUGACCGGAGGUAGUAGUUUAAAGAUUGCUUUGGAUGAGAUGCAUGAUGUGCUUGUUUGUUGACUAGAACUACAACUAGAAUAUGAUAGGAUCUUGCUAUCUUUAGUGGUGUUAUAUCAUAUAUAUUUGUGGAUGUGAUCUACCCUUAUUCAUGAUACCAAUAUUUACAAUAAGUUUGCUUUCAUAUGCAACCAAUACUUCAUGUUAGGAUUGCUCUGUUAGAUUAGAUGGAAGACCCAAGUCAGUUCGCUGCUGAUCCACGGAUUGAUAAACCUUGGACGAAUACUCUAAGAGAAAAGCUACGAUGAUCCGUGCUCUUGCGGUUCACAAAUUGGC